CAACACUCAAGCUUGCUUGGUAUUGGACCAGAUCAGUUCUGAUCGGUCUCAAAAUCAGUGGCGGUGCCAUCGUGUGCUCUAAGCGUAGUAAUACUUCUCGCUACAGGGUCUCGUGCGUGCUUGCCAGCAACCCCCAACUUUCUAA
rnacentral:misc_RNA from 1 species